rnacentral:rRNA from 1 species
AGAGUUUGAUCCUGGCUCAGGAUGAACGCUGGCGGCGUGCCUAACACAUGCAAGUCGAACGAAGCAAUCAGGAGGAAGUUUUCGGAUGGAAUCCUGGUUGAUUGAGUGGCGGACGGGUGAGUAACGCGUGGAUAACCUGCCUCACACUGGGGGAUAACAGUUAAAAAUGGCUGCUAAUACCGCAUAAGCGCACAGUACCGCACGGUACGGUGUGAAAAACCCAGGUGGUGUGAGAUGGAUCCGCGUCUGAUUAGCCAGUUGGCGGGGUAACGGCCCACCAAAGCGACGAUCAGUAGCCGACCUGAGAGGGUGACCGGCCACAUUGGGACUGAGACACGGCCCAAACUCCUACGGGAGGCAGCAGUGGGGAAUAUUGCACAAUGGGCGCAAGCCUGAUGCAGCGACGCCGCGUGAGUGAAGAAGUAUCUCGGUAUGUAAAGCUCUAUCAGCAGGGAAGAAAAUGACGGUACCUGACUAAGAAGCCCCGGCUAACUACGUGCCAGCAGCCGCGGUAAUACGUAGGGGGCAAGCGUUAUCCGGAUUUACUGGGUGUAAAGGGAGCGUAGACGGCGACGCAAGUCUGGAGUGAAAGCCCGGGGCCCAACCCCGGGACUGCUUUGGAAACUGUGUUGCUGGAGUGCAGGAGAGGUAAGUGGAAUUCCUAGUGUAGCGGUGAAAUGCGUAGAUAUUAGGAGGAACACCAGUGGCGAAGGCGGCUUACUGGACUGUAACUGACGUUGAGGCUCGAAAGCGUGGGGAGCAAACAGGAUUAGAUACCCUGAUAGUCCACGCCGUAAACGAUGAAUGCUAGGUGUCGGGGGGCAAAGCCCUUCGGUGCCGCCGCUAACGCAAUAAGCAUUCCACCUGGGGAGUACGUUCGCAAGAAUGAAACUCAAAGGAAUUGACGGGGACCCGCACAAGCGGUGGAGCAUGUGGUU